GCCGCGCGCUGAAGGAGGCCGCGCCUUGCGCCGGGCCGUUAAAGGGCCAGUGCACCCGGUACGGAGCUCUGGAAGUGCCAGUGCACCUUGAGCAGGUUCUUAAGGGGUCAGCACGCCUUGUGCUGAGCUCUUCAAGGGCCCGAACACCUCUUGCUGAGCUCUUAAAGGGCCAGUGCACUUUGUGUUAAGCUCUUAAAGGGCCAGUGCACUUUGUGUUAAGCUCUUAAAGGGCCAGUGCACUUUGUGUUAAGCUCUUAAAGGGCCAGCGUGCCGCAGGCUCCCUGUGUUGGGCUGAGAGGGGCCGCGCCGGGGCGAAGCUGGGUGGGCAGGAGGAGCCUCCCCGCUGCGGCAGAGUGGAGGCAAGACCCCAGCUUUGGGGUGCAACCAGCCCGGGCUGCUGCCGUGAUGGAGUCAGGUCCUUCCCCAUCCCACCGUGUCGGCCCGGACUCGCCGGGAUGCUCCUGUCCGCACCCAACGCUGCACCCGUUGACCCCGUUGCCGCAGUUGUGUAAAAGCAGGUCCUGCUGCCACGGCCCCGGUCGGAGCAGACGCGAGGAGACUCAAAUGCCGUCCUCAAACGCCGUCCCGCCAGCAAGGCCCUGGUGUGAGGGGUGGCUGCGGUGUGCAUGUUGGCGAAGGACUCUCACCCUCAGAAACUUCCCUCUGGGUCCUUAAUUGGUUUGGGUUUUUUUACUUCUGAUUGAAAUUUCCGUUUGGAAAUCAGUCAAAGGUCUGAUUCACUUGGGAGUGAAUCGCUGCUUGGGAACGUCGAGGUGGUAAACAUGCAAUUAAUUAAACGCGGUAGUGGGAAGGUGGCUGUGAGAAAGCAUUUCCCCGAUACUGCUCUGCCGAUGGUGUCAGUUUGUUUUUUAAAUUAAUGAGAGCAUAUAUCAUGCUGUCCCUGGCCUGUGGCUGCUGGCAGCCGUUCGGGCUGAUGGACUGCAAUGCCAGCUCAAUGCAUAAUCUGUUUUCGAAAAGCAAAUUGGAAUAUUAAAAAUUAAUUCCUCCCCUUGGCUUGCGCCUGCUCUCGGCAUUUUAAAUAAUGGGGUGAUUGACUCUGUGCUCAGCCUGGGGAGGACGUUCCAUUCUGCUGACUGUUGCCACAGCAUCGCUCCUACCUUGCUGGCGUCUGUCUGCGGGUGCAGCGUGGCACCUCCUCCUGACGGCUCCCAGCCUGUGGGGUGGUCACGGCUGCUGGGGGUUCUCCCUGGGGCCGUGGGCCACAGCGUUGCCUGCAAACCCUGACCCCAGCAGGGAUCAGCCCGAUUCUCUCUUGGACAUCACAUCUAGGGACAAACACGAGAAGCACGGGGAAAGCCUGCUGGAGGUUUCACGCCCAACCUGCUUGGAGAUGAUUUGUCUCACGGUGGGCGAGGGCUGCCCGGGGAUGGUAGUGCUGUCCCUGUGUGGCCCCAGCUCUCUGCUGAGGCCUCCAUUUUGUGGGUUGGUGAAAUUCAGUUCAGCUGUGGCUAUGUGAUGGGUAACCCCAACCUACCUCUGCGCUCUGGGAAGCUCAGUGAGGGCAGGCAUGAGUGUCGUCUUUGGAGGGCGACUCGGGAGCAGGUCUUCCAGGACUGGUUGGCUCAGGGUUGGAUUUAAGGGUUUUGGGGCUGCCAGACAGGUUGCCGCUGAGUGAGGGUGGUCUCCCCCAUGGCACUGAGGUAACCUGUUCCCUCCAGGGGCUGAGGCACGAUGGCUCACAGCCAGUCUCGAAAGCGAUCGCGAAGCAGGAGCAAAAGCAAUUCUCGGAGCAGACAAGAGAGGAAGGAGAAGAAAAGGAGGAAAAGCAGCAAGGACUCACACCAGGGCAGCAGCUCUCCUCCAAGGAAGCGGACCUCUGGGUCUCACAAACACAAGUCGAGCUCAGCGGCAGCUAGGGAAGAAAAGAAGAAGGAAGGAAAGGACAAAAAGAAGAGGAAGGCAAGUACCUCUUCCUCUGAGACAGCAUCUUCAUCCACCAGCUCCUCCUCGUCUUCCUCUUCCUCCAGCUCCAGUUCUGAUGACUCCAGUGACAGUGACUCCAAAAUGAAGAAGAGUCGACACGGCAAAAAAAAGCGAGCAAAACAGAAAGACAAAAAGAAGAAGAAGAAGAGAUUAAAGAAGAAAUCAAAAAAGAAGUCAAAGGAAAGGGCUAAGGAGGAGAAAGCCAAGGGAGAAGAGGUGCCCGGCCCCUCGUUGGAGCAGUGGCAGAAGGAGUCACUGGUGGACUCUGGACCAGUUUUGACAGACGAACAAAAAUCCCGAAUCCAGGCUAUGAAACCAAUGACAAAGGAAGAAUGGGACGCGAGGCAGAGUGUCAUAAGGAGAGUUGUGGAUCCCGAAACGGGGAGAACCAGGCUUAUCAAGGGAGACGGAGAAGUAUUAGAAGAAAUCGUCAGCAAGGAGAGACACAAGGAGAUUAACAAGCAAGCCACCCGGGGGGAUGGGCUGGCCUUCCAGGUGAGGACAGGGAUGCUGCAGUGAGACCCAAGCCAGGAGCCUGUCCUGCUGCUGGUGCCAGCCCAGGCGUGAGCCUCUGUCUCCAGACCACGGAGGCAGCACCGCAUCAGGAUGCCUCCAAAGGGGCGGUUUCCAGCCACUCUCACAGGCCCCGGGCAGCAUUAGGGUUCUGGGCUUCUCGGGACCCAUGCCCGUGACUGCGGUGAAGCAAACAGCUGGCCUUUCCCCCACUGCAAAAG